rnacentral:rRNA from 1 species
UACGGAGGGUGCAAACGUUGCUCGGAAUCAUUGGGCGUAAAGCGCACGUAGGCGGACCGCUAAGUCGGAUGUGAAAGCCCUCGGCUUAACCGAGGAAGUGCAUUCGAAACUGACAGUCUUGAGUAUGGAAGAGGGUCGCGGAAUUCCCCGGUGUAGAGGUGAAAUUCGUAGAUAUCGGGAGGAACACCAGUGGCGAAGGCGGCGACCUGGGCCCAAUGACUGACGGCUGAGGUGCGAAAGCGUGGGGAGCAAACAGG